GUUCGAGCGCGAAGCGGCUUCGGUCGUUAGUAGAGCGGCGGACGGGUGAGGAACACGUGGGUAACCUACCCUUGGGUGGGGAAUAACCCAGGGAAACCUGGGCUAAUUCCGCAUAACAUCCUUAGCUCACAAGAGUUUUGGAUCAAAGCCGGGGACCCUUCGGGGCCUGGCGCCAGAGGAGGGGCCCGCGGCCGAUUAGCUUGUUGGUGAGGUAACGGCUCACCAAGGCUUCGAUCGGUAGCCGGCCUAAGAGGGCGGACGGCCACACUGGGACUGAGACACGGCCCAGACUCCUACGGGAGGCAGCAGUGGGGAAUUUUUGUCAAUGGGGGAAACCCUGAACAAGCAACGCCGCGUGGAGGACGAAGACCUUCGGGUCGUAAACUCCUGUCGGAGGGGACGAAAGCGGCAACGGUUAAUACCCGUAGUCGUUGACGGUACCCUUAGAGGAAGCCCCGGCUAACUCCGUGCCAGCAGCCGCGGUAAUACGGGGGGGCAAGCGUUGUUCGGAAUUACUGGGCGUAAAGGGCGUGUAGGCGGCCCUGCAAGUCUUUCGUGAAAUCCCACAGCUCAACUGUGGAACUGCGAGGGAAACUGCAGGACUUGAGUCCGGGAGAGGAGAGUGGAAUUCCCAGUGUAGCGGUGAAAUGCGUAGAUAUUGGGAGGAACACCGGUGGCGAAGGCGGCUCUCUGGACCGGAACUGACGCUGAGGCGCGAAAGCUAGGGGAGCAAACGGGAUUAGAUACCC
rnacentral:rRNA from 1 species